AUUCCAUGAUGCGGGGCAGUCUGAUAUGUAUCCUUGAAAACGCUCCCAUGCUUCUGGAAUAGGUUCACCUUUCUGCUGAUGAAAUUCUGAAAUCUUCCCUCGUAAGAUA
rnacentral:snoRNA from 1 species